rnacentral:rRNA from 1 species
CGGAGGAUCCAAGCGUUAUCCGGAAUCAUUGGGUUUAAAGGGUCCGUAGGCGGUUUUGUAAGUCAGUGGUGAAAGCCCAUCGCUCAACGGUGGAACGGCCAUUGAUACUGCAAGACUUGAAUUACUAGGUAGUAACUAGAAUAUGUAGUGUAGCGGUGAAAUGCUUAGAUAUUACAUGGAAUACCAAUUGCGAAGGCAGGUUACUACUAGUGGAUUGACGCUGAUGGACGAAAGCGUGGGGAGCGAACAGGAUUAGAUACCCUGGUAGUCCACGCCGUAAACGAUGGAUACUAGCUGUUCGGAGCAAUCUGAGUGGCUAAGCGAAAGUGAUAAGUAUCCCACCUGGGGAGUACGUUCGCAAGAAUG